rnacentral:rRNA from 1 species
CCUACGGGAGGCUGCAGUAGGGGAUCUUCCACAAUGGACGAAAGUCUGAUGGAGCAACGCCGCGUGAGUGAUGAAGGUUUUCGGAUCGUAAAACUCUGUUGUAAGGGAAGAACAAGUACGAGAGGUAAUGCUCGUACCUUGACGGUACCUUGCGAGAAGGCCACGGCUAACUACGUGCCAGCAGCCGCGGUAAUACGUAGGUGGCAAGCGUUGUCCGGAAUUAUUGGGCGUAAAGCGCGCGCAGGCGGCCUUGUUAGUCUUGAGUGAAAGCCCCCGGCGCAACCGGGGAGGGUCCUUGGAAACUGGAAGGCUUGAGUACAGAAGAGAAGAGGGGAAUUCCAUGUGUAGCGGUGAAAUGCGUAGAGAUGGGGAGGAACACCAGUGGCGAAGGCGACUCUUUGGUCUGUAACUGACGCUGAGGCGCGAAAGCGUGGGGAGCAAACAGGAUUAGAUACCCCGGUAGUC